CAGCAUGGUUCGAGGAAGUAAAAAGAUAACCAUUUCCCAUUGGAAUAUCCAAAUAUGAAUUCCAAGUGCAUGUAAAAGAUCAACAGUGCCACAUGGGUCAGGUCAAAGGCUCAGCCCUCUUCAAAAUUCAUCCAUUGCCAAACUGACUGGCCCGAGUUGCAUCCCUGUGACAGGCGUACAUAGAAAUAAAAUGAUUUAAGGAUCCAAAGAGAGUACAAUCCUAAAACCAACCUGAUUGUCUGUCAGCAUUGGCAGCAGCAGCAGCAGCUGGGGGUAUCGCAGAGCUUGUUCCAGCAGGAGGACCCUAUCA